rnacentral:rRNA from 1 species
UGGGGAAUUUUGGACAAUGGGCGAAAGCCUGAUCCAGCAAUGCCGCGUGUGUGAAGAAGGCCUUCGGGUUGUAAAGCACUUUUGUCCGGAAAGAAAUCCUUGGCUCUAAUACAGUCGGGGGAUGACGGUACCGGAAGAAUAAGCACCGGCUAACUACGUGCCAGCAGCCGCGGUAAUACGUAGGGUGCAAGCGUUAAUCGGAAUUACUGGGCGUAAAGCGUGCGCAGGCGGUUUGCUAAGACCGAUGUGAAAAUCCCCGGGCUCAACCUGGGAACUGCAUUGGUGACUGGCAGGCUAGAGUAUGGCAGAGGGGGGUAGAAUUCCACGUGUAGCAGUGAAAAUGCGUAGAGAUGUGGAGGAAUACCGAUGGCGAAAGGCAGCCCCCUGGGCCAAGUACUGACGCUCAUGCACGAAAAGCGUGGGGGAGCAAAACAGGAUUAGAUACCCUGGUAGUCCACGCCCUAAAACGAUGUG